GAUGAACGCUAGCGGCAGGCUUAAUACAUGCAAGUCGAGGGGCAGCAUGAUUGUGGCAAUACAAUUGAUGGCGACCGGCAAACGGGUGCGGAACACGUACACAACCUUCCAAUAAGUGGGGAAUAGCCCAGAGAAAUUUGGAUUAAUACCCCGUAACAUAACGAUGUGGCAUCACAUUGCUAUUAUAGAUUUUUCGCUUAUUGAUGGGUGUGCGGCUGAUUAGGUAGUUGGCGGGGUAACGGCCCACCAAGUCUACGAUCAGUAGCUGAUGUGAGAGCAUGAUCAGCCACACGGGCACUGAGACACGGGCCCGACUCCUACGGGAGGCAGCAGUAAGGAAUAUUGGACAAUGGACGCAAGUCUGAUCCAGCCAUGCCGCGUGAAGGAUUAAGGUCCUCUGGAUUGUAAACUUCUUUUAUAAGGGACGAAAAAAGGCUUUUCUAAGUCGUCUGACGGUACCUUAUGAAUAAGCACCGGCUAACUACGUGCCAGCCGCCGCGGUAA
rnacentral:rRNA from 1 species